CACGGGGGGAGCAAGCGUUGUUCGGAAUCACUGGGCGUAAAGGGCGUGUAGGCGGUCAAGUAAGUGGAAUGUGAAAGCCCCCGGCUUACCCGGGGAUCUGCAUCCCAAACUGCUUGGCUUGAGUACGGGAGAGGAUAGGGGAAUUCCUGGGUGUAGCGGUGAAAUGCGUAGAUAUCAGGAGGAACACCGGUGGCGAAGGCGCCUAUCUGGCCCGAUACUGACGCUGAGGCGCGAAAGCUAGGGGAGCAAACGGG
rnacentral:rRNA from 1 species